GAGCUGGCUGAAUGCUUCGAGACAUCAAGGUGCCUCCUUCAGGUCAGGGGUCGGUCCUUCCCCCCCAGUCCAUCCCCCUCAGGAAACCCCAUGCACAGGCUGUUGGGUUAACAGUGUUGUGUCUUGGGCACAGGGAGUGGGGGUGGGGUGGGGUGGGGUGGUGGGGAGGGCAUCUUGGUAUAUUCCUGAGCAGCUGGGGAAGGUUUCAGGCCGUUUGGGGGUAAGGGAAGGGACCUCUUUAUUCAAAUCCCCCUUUGACCCAGUUCUGACCUACAGAAUUGGGCCUCCCCCCCAAAUCUCAGACAAGUCUAUGCAUCAAUGCCAGCCUCCCCAGGACCCCACUGUGUCCUCUCCGUCCAACAUGGGGCCAGAUUCCCACUAACACCCAGGACCCACCCACUCCUCCCGCAGACUUCAUGGCUUUUGUCCAGCUCCCAGGAGUACCGACUAGCUGUCAUUUAAAAGUUCAGGGCCAGCGGACUUUUUCUUAAAGGGCCAGGCAGGAAAUAUUUUAGGUUUUGCGGGCAGCAGGGUCCCUGUUGCAACUUCUCAACUCUCUUAUCAUACUGCCAAUGCAGGGCAAUGAUUGAUACUAUGUUGUGAAUAAAUGGGGUUGGCUGGGUUCUAAUAAAACUUUAUUUAUAAACAA